UUGUCAUAUAUCAAAUAAAAUAUUUUUUCCAAAAUGUGGAUGGAUGGAUGGAUUUCUAAAUGUAUAGUAUUGUGCGAUAUACGCCGCUGAGAUAAAUCUUCCUGAUGCGAAUGCACAAAAAUAUUGCAAAAAAUUGUGAUGCAUGCAACACGCUGUAGCAAUUCAUUAUUGCAGAGAACUUAGUAUCUUCUACUACAAGCAAGCAAACAGCUAUUUUUACAAGCUAUUGGCAACUCUAUUCCAUUUGGGCUUUGAAGAUUUGACACCUUGGAGAUGCAAAUAUCUGUGAAAUGCACUUUGGAAUUGCAAAAACUAAAAGGCCUUUGUAACUAAAUAAGAACAAAUAAAAAGUAUAGCUAGAAAAUUGUAGUUCUACAAGUCAAUGGGGAGUGAUUUCAACUAAAGUAAUGUCGAGUUGGAAAAGUAACUUUCAUUAGAAAAGUUUACAACGAAAGUUUGGUAUAGAAGUGGUCACCAGCUUUCGAAAUAUGAAAAGUUUUCUUUUAUCUGCUGCACAAUAAUCGGGAGUACGUAUUUAUGAACAUUAUUUACGGAUGGAUAUUAGGGAAUUUAUGUACUUUUCAUAAACAGCGCAUAAAGUAUAAAAACGUAAAAACAUAAAAAUCAACAAAAGGAGAAGUGCUCACAUCAGCGAUAAACGCGUAAAUUACCCAUCAGCAAUAAAAAUAACAUCGGCAACUACAAUAACAACAAUAACAACAACAAUACCACCACCAUCAUCAUAUAUUUGAGUAGAAUCAGCAUUUAACAACAACAACAACAAAAACACAACAAAUA